UCAUGGCAACACUGAAAACCCUCUCUCGCCUACCGAACCUGGAGCUCAAGCUUUAGGUGACACUUCUCGUGAGUGACGUGGAUAUCUGUCAUCAGAUUGUCAUCGGGGUGAAAAAGCAUAGUCACUGCAACAGACUAACAGCGUGUUUGAUGUUCGUUCCGCAAAAUUAUAAUUCCAUGAAAUUCGUUCCUUAGAUGUACCUAUAAUUACCUUAUUGCUAAAUUUCUUCUACACUACGUUGAGAAUUCGUGAAUUGAUUAUAACAAAGUGAAUUUAUAAUACCGAAGAGCAGUUAAAUUUUGGGUUUAACGAUAAUAGCGCUUCAUUGAAUUGGCAGAACGGCUAAGCUAGCUGACGAUUGCGUAUCGGUAAUAAGCUAGAGCCAGAUUUCUCCCACGAGUAAAGCGCUAACGAAGGCCCUCUAAAAUUGAGAGGAACGGUCAAAGACCAUGUAAGCAAUAAUACUAAUUCCAAU